rnacentral:rRNA from 1 species
UGGGGAAUUUUGGACAAUGGGCGAAAGCCUGAUCCAGCAAUGCCGCGUGUGUGAAGAAGGCCUUCGGGUUGUAAAGCACUUUUGUCCGGAAAGAAAUCCUUGGCUCUAAUACAGUCGGGGGAUGACGGUACCGGAAGAAUAAGCACCGGCUAACUACGUGCCAGCAGCCGCGGUAAUACGUAGGGUGCAAGCGUUAAUCGGAAUUACUGGGCGUAAAGCGUGCGCAGGCGGUUUGCUAAGACCGAUGUGAAAUCCCCGGGCUCAACCUGGGAACUGCAUUGGUGACUGGCAGGCUAGAGUAUGGCAGAGGGGGGUAGAAUUCCACGUGUAGCAGUGAAAUGCGUAGAGAUGUGGAGGAAUACCGAUGGCGAAGGCAGCCCCCUGGGCCAAAUACUGACGCUCAUGCACGAAAAGCGUGGGGGAGCAAAACAGGAUUCAGAUACCCUGGUAGUCCACGCCCUAAACGAUGUCAACUAGUUGUUGGGGAUUCAUUUCCUUAGUAACGUAGCUAACGCGUGAAGUUGACCGCCUGGGGAGUACGGUCGCAAGACUGAAACUUAAAUGAAUUGACGGGGUCAUAGCUGUUUCCU